UAUCCUUUUAUAGGAGCAUGAUGAAUUCUGAUAUAAGCAAAGAUGGGAUCCAAGCUAUUUUGAAGGGAUAAUUCUCUUAAUAUUUUCAAGGACAAAGGAGGUCUGUGGCACUUGCAGUUUUCUUGGAUUAGUUAGAUCACGCUGGACUUCAUAAGGAAGAUUGAAAAUGUCCUUCUGUCCAUGUGCAAGACACAACUCCAUAAUGUGACCUCUGCUGCAUGGCCUGCAUAAGAUACUGAGCUGUUGUUCAUCAAAAUCUUAGGGUUAAGCAAGAACGCAAUAACACAGGUCCUAAAAUUCUGUGGAUGUGGCUAUUUCAGCUAGCAAUGCAAAUAUUAUAGUAACGUGCAGCAUCUAGCUGUCUAAAUUUAUAGCAAAUGAUGCAAAGGUCAGAUAAGAUAUGGUAUACCUGGAACUAGUACUGAGUUUAUUAUCUCUGGCCAUUAGUGUGUCUCUUUGAAUGUUUUUAUGGUCAAUGUCUCUUUGAAUUUUGUCUAAAUCUAAGGAGAAUUUUUUAUCAAAGUUUAGAGCUCUACGUCCAGAUUUCCUUUUCACCUUUAUUAAGUGAGCUUUCCCAGACCAUUAAAUCUCAUGGCUUUGGUUACUGACAUGGAGGAUAGAGUCUUAGUGUCUGUGCUGUGAUCAUUGGCUAUAACACUCAUGUUCACUUGCAAAUUUCAAAUUCUGGAUUACACACUCAAUUCUAUGUCGCAAAGCUUAUUCUGUAUUUGUUAUUUUUAGAGUUUGUAGAUAAAUAAUAAAAUUAUCCUUAGCUAGUUUAUAAAUUUUAUGGCUAAUAUUGUAAGUUAUAUUUAUAUUUACCAUGUAGAAUUCUUUUUAAUAACUAGAGUUAUUUUUUCCUUUUUUUCUGGAAUGAAAUAUGUGGAUUCCUGCAAAAUUUAAACAAGCUCCACUCCUGAGUUACCCUACCUUCUCUGAGAUCAAGUAUUAAAAAUGUUCUACAGUUUCAUCAAAGGUUUGCACUGUCACAGUUUUCAGACAUAUCAAAAGAGAGCAUCGGAUCUCCAUUUCAGGUGGUGGUGAGCCAGUCCCUGGUUUCUGGCAACUGAACUCAGGACCUCUGGAAGAAGAGUGAGUGCUCUUAACUGGUGACUCAUUUCUCCAGCACUCUUCUUCAUGUUAAACAAGGAACUUUGUUGACUAAUUCAGAAUGUUGUGUGGAGGGACAGAGAAAUCAAUGGUAUCAAAUUGAAGAUGCAGGAGAAAAGUCAUAGACUUAUGGACACUUGAUUUUUGAUAAAGAAACAAAAAAAAUACAGUGGAACAAAGAAAGAAUCUACAAUAACUAGUGCUGGUCUAACUGAUGCUCUGUAUGUAGGAGACCAAAUAUAUAUCCAUACUUAUCACCUUGAGAAAAGCUCAAGUCCAAGUGGAUGGUGUUCCUCAAUAUCAAACCAGAUACACUGAGUCUAAUAGAAGAGAACUUGUAAAAGAGUUUCAAACUCACUUGCACAGGGGGAAAAUUCCAGAAGAGAACACCAAUGGCUCAGGAUCUAAGAUCAACAAUUGAUAAAUGGGACCUCAUGAAACUGAAAAGAUUCUGUAAGACAAAAGGUGGCAUCAUUAGCACAACUAGGCAAUGUAAGGUUGGGAAAAAUUUUUCACUAACUGUACUUCCUACUGGAGGCUAAUAUCUAAAAUAUAUAAAGAACUCAACAAGUUCAUCUACAAAAACCCAAAUAACCUAAUUAAAAAUGUGGUACAGAGAUAAACAGAGAAUUUACAACAGAAGAAUCUUGAAAGGCAAAGAAACACUUAAAAAUAUUCAAAGUCCUUU